rnacentral:rRNA from 1 species
CGACAGGCGUAGGUGAUGGACAACAGGUUGAUAUUCCUGUACUACCGAUAACCGUUUGAGAGAAGGGAUGACACAGUAGGAUAAGCUAAGCACCCUGUUGGUUAUGUGUGCCCAAGCAUUGAGGCAGGCAAAGUAGGCAAAUCCGCUUUGAUAAUGCUGGGAUGUGAUGGGGAGCGAAAUUUAGUAGCGAAGUAGCUGAUUUCACACUGUCAAGAAAAGUCUCUAUCGAGGUUAAAGGUACCCGUACCGCAAACC